rnacentral:rRNA from 1 species
CCUACGGGUGGCAGCAGUGAGGAAUAUUGGUCAAUGGACGAGAGUCUGAACCAGCCAAGUAGCGUGAAGGAUGACUGCCCUAUGGGUUGUAAACUUCUUUUAUAUGGGAAUAAAAUGUUCCACGUGUGGGAUUUUGUAUGUACCAUAUGAAUAAGGAUCGGCUAACUCCGUGCCAGCAGCCGCGGUAAUACGGAGGAUCCGAGCGUUAUCCGGAUUUAUUGGGUUUAAAGGGAGCGUAGGUGGAUUGUUAAGUCAGUUGUGAAAGUGUGCGGCUCAACCGUAACAUUGCAGUGGAAACUGGCAGUCUUGAGUACAGUAGAGGUAGGCGGAAUUCGUGGUGUAGCGGUGAAAUGCUUAGAUAUCACGAAGAACUCCGAUUGCGAAGGCAGUUCACUGGACUGCAACUGACGCUGAGGCUCGAAAGUGUGGGUAUCAAACAGGAUUAGAUACCCUUGUAGUC